rnacentral:rRNA from 1 species
UACAGAGGUGCCAAGCGUUAUCCGGAAUUAUUGGGCGUAAAGAGCUCGUAGGCGGUUUGUCGCGUCUGCCGUGAAAGUCCGGGGCUCAACUCCGGAUCUGCGGUGGGUACGGGCAGACUCGAGUGCGGUAGGGGAGCGGGGGAAUUCCUCGGUGUAGCGGUGAAAUGCGCAGAUAUCAGGAGGAACACCAGUGGCGAAGGCGCCGCUCUGGGCCGUGACUGACGCUGAGGAGCGAAAGCGUGGGUAGCAAACAGG